CGCCCGGCUAAGUUUUUGUAUUUUUAGUAGAGACGGGGUUUCACCGUGUUAGCCAGGGUGGUCUCGAUCCCCUGACCUUGUGAUCCGCCCACCUCGGCCUCCCAAAGUGCUGGGAUUAUAGGCGUGAGCCACUGCGCCUGGCCUUGCCCUGGAUCUUGAAGCUGAAACCCAGAGUAGCCUACACAGUAUAAACCCUUCCAGCUCUUAACGCCAUUCCAGUCUCUUAAUAACAAGAGCAAAUAAUUGAGUAUCUAUAUACGUACACAACUUGAAUUAUCUCACUUAACUCCCAACACAACCUUAUGAUAUUGGCCAUAUUAUUAGCCCCCACAUUACAUAUGAGAUGGCCAAAGCUCAGAGAAGUUAAGGAACUUGCUUUGAGUCACACAGGCUAUUCAGAUUCUGGAUACAAUCUUAGUCUGAACAAUCUGAGACUUUAACUCCUACCCAUAGGUUCUGCGGCUUAACUGAGGCCCCUACUCACACCAAGCCUCCAGAACCCUUUCCUUGGGGUCUAGGAUCAUUGAGGGUCUCUCUUUUCUGUGGUUAUCUGCAUUCCCAGUUCACUCAUGUGUUCACCCCUUGGUUUGUCAAACAUUCACGAGGCCUUCCUCUGUGGCUGGCACUAGGCAUACCACAGUGGACAGUGGUACAAUGUCCUGCUCUGGAGUAGCUAGCCCAGGCUGGGGGAAUCCAAGAAGGCUUCCUGGAAGGGUGCCCAAGAUGAAUCUUGAAGGAUGAAUAGGAAGCAGGCAGAAGAGAAGGAAGAGGGAAGAAUGUUCCAAGCAGGAGAAGCCAGAGGCAAGAGAGAGUGGGGCCUGCUCAGGGACCCUGUAAUUGAGGCAGUUUGACUGGGACAGCAACAGGGAGGAGAGAGGUGAGGUUUGUGUAGUGUUGGCGGGUGGCAGGAUGUGGCAGGGAGUGACCUGGUCAGGUCUGUGUAAGGAUGCUGUGGAGGCUGGGGAAGGGGAGAGUACCGGGAUGCUGUCUCUUCCAGACCAGGAUCUUUCUAGUCACCUCUGGUGCUAGACCCUUGGAGCCAACCCGGCAGGCUGUGAGCAUGUAGGGAGGGCAGCCUUCCAGGGCACCCUUGGCUGAACUUGCAGGGGCCUCCGGAGGCCUGGGGCAGGGAUUGUGGAUGGGAUGAAGUAUAAGAGCCAAGGUUUCCUCCCUACAGUCACCAGUGAGGUACCCACGUGAGAACAGACAGAAGGAAGGGCAUUCCAGACAGCAGGAACAGCAUCUGCAAAGGUGCAGAGGUGAAAGAGAGCAAGACUAUCUGGGAGCUAGCAUAGUUUAUAAGCUGAAGCCAGGGACUGGGCUAGAUGGAGUUGUUCCUGUGCAGCAGGACUGAACUCAGGCCUUCAUGGGUAAGAGUCUAGGGGUUCUGCUGCUGGUAUCCCUAGGUUAAAGCCCAGUUCCUAUGAGCUACGCAUCUGUGGGAAAACUACUUAGGCUCUCUGGUUUUUAGUUUUCUCAUCUGUAAAAUAGGGUUGCUGUGAGGAUUAAGCAAAACAAUGUGAAAGUACUUAGCACAUAAUAAAUACCCAAUAAGCACAGUCUAUGCUAUUGUCAUGAUCACUAAUAUUAUCAUUACUAACAGCCUCACAG
ensembl:lncRNA